rnacentral:miRNA from 10 species
GAAGAUAUUAGGUUGGUGCAAAAGUAAUUGCGGUUAUUGCCAUUGAAAGUAAUGGCAAAAACCGCAGUUACUUCUGCAUUAACCUAAUAUA